UCCCUCCUACGGGAGGCAGCAGUGAGGAAUAUUGGUCAAUGGGCUUACGCCUGAACCAGCCAAGUCGCGUGAGGGAAGACUGCCCUAUGGGUUGUAAACCUCUUUUGUCAGGGAGCAACGCCGGCUACGUGUAGCCGGACUGAGAGUACCUGAAGAAAAAGCAUCGGCUAACUCCGUGCCAGCAGCCGCGGUAAUACGGAGGAUGCGAGCGUUAUCCGGAUUUAUUGGGUUUAAAGGGUGCGUAGGCGGAAUGCCAAGUCAGCGGUAAAAUCGCGGGGCUCAACCUCGCUCCGCCGUUGAAACUGGCGUUCUUGAGUGGGCGAGAAGUAUGCGGAAUGCGCAGUGUAGCGGUGAAAUGCUUAGAUAUUGCGCAGAACUCCGAUUGCGAAGGCAGCAUACCGGCGGCGAUCUGACGCUGAGGCACGAAAGCGUGGGUAUCGAACAGGAUUAGAUACCCUUGUA
rnacentral:rRNA from 1 species